rnacentral:rRNA from 1 species
UGGCGCAAGGGUGAGUAAGGCGACGGCAACCAACCCCGUGAUCGGGUAUAGCCGCGGGAAACUGCGGGUAAUCCCCGGCGACGCCCCUGGGAGGCAUCUCCUGGGGGCCAAAGCUCCGGCGUCGCGGGACGGGCCGUCGUGGUAUUAGCUUGUUGGCGGGGUGACGGCCCACCAAGGCGAUGAUGCCUACCGGGCGUGCGAGCGUGGCCCGGCACACUGGGACUGAGACACUGCCCAG